rnacentral:piRNA from 1 species
UGCGAAGGAAACCCUUGGAGGUAGCUGU